GGAAGACUGUAGCUCAAUGAUAAGAGCAUCUACUUUUCUUGCAGGUCCUGGGUUCAGUUCCCAGGAUUUCCA